UGCAGUCGAACGGUAAGGCCUUUCGGGGUACACGAGUGGCGAACGGGUGAGUAACACGUGGGUGAUCUGCCCUGCACUUCGGGAUAAGCUUGGGAAACUGGGUCUAAUACCGGAUAUGACCAUGGACUUCACGGUUUGUGGUGGAAAGCUUUUGCGGUGUGGGAUGGGCCCGCGGCCUAUCAGCUUGUUGGUGGGGUAAUGGCCUACCAAGGCGACGACGGGUAGCCGGCCUGAGAGGGUGACCGGCCACACUGGGACUGAGAUACGGCCCAGACUCCUACGGGAGGCAGCAGUGGGGAAUAUUGCACAAUGGGCGCAAGCCUGAUGCAGCGACGCCGCGUGAGGGAUGACGGCCUUCGGGUUGUAAACCUCUUUCAGUAGGGACGAAGCGCAAGUGACGGUACCUAUAGAAGAAGGACCGGCCAACUACGUGCCAGCAGCCGCGGUAAUACGUAGGGUCCGAGCGUUGUCCGGAAUUACUGGGCGUAAAGAGCUCGUAGGUGGUUUGUCGCGUUGUUCGUGAAAACUCACAGCUCAACUGUGGGCGUGCGGGCGAUACGGGCAGACUGGAGUACUGCAGGGGAGACUGGAAUUCCUGGUGUAGCGGUGGAAUGCGCAGAUAUCAGGAGGAACACCGGUGGCGAAGGCGGGUCUCUGGGCAGUAACUGACGCUGAGGAGCGAAAGCGUGGGGAGCGAACAGGAUUAGAUACCCUGGUAGUCCACGCCGUAAACGGUGGGUACUAGGUGUGGGUUUCCUUCCUUGGGAUCCGUGCCGUAGCUAACGCAUUAAGUACCCCGCCUGGGGAGUACGGCCGCAAGGCUAAAACUCAAAGAAAUUGACGGGGGCCCGCACAAGCGGCGGAGCAUGUGGAUUAAUUCGAUGCAACGCGAAGAACCUUACCUGGGUUUGACAUGCACAGGACGUGCCUAGAGAUAGGUAUUCCCUUGUGGCCUGUGUGCAGGUGGUGCAUGGCUGUCGUCAGCUCGUGUCGUGAGAUGUUGGGUUAAGUCCCGCAACGAGCGCAACCCUUGUCUCAUGUUGCCAGCACGUA
rnacentral:rRNA from 1 species